UACAGAGGGUGCGAGCGUUAAUCGGAAUUACUGGGCGUAAAGCGCACGUAGGCGGAUAUUUAAGUCAGGGGUGAAAUCCCAGAGCUCAACUCUGGAACUGCCUUUGAUACUGGGUAUCUCGAGUAUGGAAGAGGUGAGUGGAAUUCCGAGUGUAGAGGUGAAAUUCGUAGAUAUUCGGAGGAACACCAGUGGCGAAGGCGGCUCACUGGUCCAUUACUGACGCUGAGGUGCGAAAGCGUGGGGAGCAAACAGG
rnacentral:rRNA from 1 species